CCCCCCCCUUCAUAAAUAAUCUUUAAUUACCCGUAUGAUUUCACCUUUAUUGACUUCGCCGUUAUUAAGUCUGUUGUUGUCGUCGGACACGUUACAAUUUUCGUUUGUGUCGCGCAUGUGAUAAUUAGCUGACGAUUACCUAUUUAUUCAUUAUCGUGAUUGGCCAAUGGAAAAAAAAAAAAAAAAACGAUAAUUUCGUUCGACAAUAUUUAGGUACAAAAGUUUAUUGAUAAUAAUAAUAAUUAGAUUGUAGUAAAAGCGAACCGUGCGUUGUGUAACCGAAAUGUUCGCGCGCGAGUCGCCUAUGGAAAUAGAUUGUUGUUCUCAUGGUUAUACCUUCUCGUAUUAUAGUAAAUCCACUCCAUUAACGUUCACGGUUUAAAAAAAAAAAUGAUCAC